UGAGGAGCGAAAGCGUGGGGAGCGAACAGGAUUAGAUACCCUGGUAGUCCACGCCGUAAACGAUGAGUGCUAAGUGUUAGGGGGUUUCCGCCCCUUAGUGCUGCAGCUAACGCAUUAAGCACUCCGCCUGGGGAGUACGGUCGCAAGACUGAAACUCAAAGGAAUUGACGGGGGCCCGCACAAGCGGUGGAGCAUGUGGUUUAAUUCGAAGCAACGCGAAGAACCUUACCAGGUCUUGACAUCCUCUGACAAUCCUAGAGAUAGGACGUCCCCUUCGGGGGCAGAGUGACAGGUGGUGCAUGGUUGUCGUCAGCUCGUGUCGUGAGAUGUUGGGUUAAGUCCCGCAACGAGCGCAACCCUUGAUCUUAGUUGCCAGCAUUCAGUUGGGCACUCUAAGGUGACUGCCGGUGACAAACCGGAGGAAGGUGGGGAUGACGUCAAAUCAUCAUGCCCCUUAUGACCUGGGCUACACACGUGCUACAAUGGACAGAACAAAGGGCAGCGAAACCGCGAGGUUAAGCCAAUCCCACAAAUCUGUUCUCAGUUCGGAUCGCAGUCUGCAACUCGACUGCGUGAAGCUGGAAUCGCUAGUAAUCGCGGA
rnacentral:rRNA from 1 species